rnacentral:rRNA from 1 species
AAAUUGAAGAGUUUGAUCAUGGCUCAGAUUGAACGCUGGCGGCAGGCCUAACACAUGCAAGUCGAACGGUAACAGGAAGAAGCUUGCUUCUUUGCUGACGAGUGGCGGACGGGUGAGUAAUGUCUGGGAAACUGCCUGAUGGAGGGGGAUAACUACUGGAAACGGUAGCUAAUACCGCAUAACGUCGCAAGACCAAAGAGGGGGACCUUCGGGCCUCUUGCCAUCGGAUGUGCCCAGAUGGGAUUAGCUAGUAGGUGGGGUAACGGCUCACCUAGGCGACGAUCCCUAGCUGGUCUGAGAGGAUGACCAGCCACACUGGA